rnacentral:rRNA from 1 species
GUGUCAGCCGCCGCGGUAAUACGUAGGGUCCGAGCGUUGUCCGGAGUUACUGGGCGUAAAGCGCGCGCAGGCGGCGGUGUUGGCCCGGCGUGAAAGCCCCCGGCUCAACCGGGGAGAGUCGUCGGGGACCGCACCGCUUGAGGGCGGUAGGGGCUGGUGGAAUGCCUGGUGUAGUGGUGAAAUGCGUAGAGAUCAGGCAGAACACCUGGGGCGAAGGCGGCCAGCUGGGCCGUCCCUGACGCUGAGGCGCGAAGGCGUGGGGAGCGAACGGGAUUAGAAACCCUCGUAGUCC